rnacentral:piRNA from 1 species
UGGGCUAUAUCAAUGAAUGAAUCUUGCUGA